rnacentral:lncRNA from 1 species
GGCGGCUCGAGAAAGAGGGCUCAGAGGAUUUCUAGAAAAUAGAUUAGAAUUAGCCAAGAAUGGGAAAGAGCAGAGGAAGGAACACUGACUGCACUCAGAAUACAGCUCUGGCUAAGAAUUUGAGCCUCAAGAAGCCAGCGACUUAGACCAGCUCCCCUAGAAACAGACCCUGACUAAGGAUUCAAGCAAAAGUAGUUUACUAAGAAGAGAUCCCAGGAAGCACAAAAGGAGUAGUCAAGAAGUGAAACAAAAAGAGAUUUUAAGCACUCUGUGUGGGAAAAAGAAAAGUGUCUUAUUCAACUCCGUACUCUCUUCCGCAAGCUUCAUAAGAUACAACAGCAUCAAGCAGGGCACUUCCCACAUGCCACAGAGAAAAGGCCAUGUGAGGACACAGCAAGAAGGUGGCCAUUGGCAAACCAAGAAGAGAGCCCUCACCAGGAACCCAACUAACCAGCAUCUUGAUCAUGGACUUGUAGCCUCCAGAACUAUGAGAAAAUAAAUGUCUGUUGUUUAAGCCACCCAGUCUGUUUUUGUCAUGGCAGCCUGAGCAGACUAAUAUAGUUUAUUUGUCUAUUGUUUUCACUGCCAACCAGUAUCCACCUCCUCCUCCUCCUCCUCAACUGGUAAUGAUUUUCCUUUGGUUAUUCACCCAACUCCCAGGCAACCUAUGUGAUUCAAGGUGGAACCAAUGGCUCAGACAUAAAUAAAUCAACAUAAUUCCAAUCCCUGCCCACACUGAUUUGUUCAAGGAUGAGCAUGUGACCAUAAAGCUGGCCUGAUCAAAACGAAGUCUAUGAUGUGUGUUCGAAGGUUGACAUAAGCCGUAAUUUUCUUUUCUGCUGGAUGGGCAUCUGGAGGAUAUAGCAUCAAGAGUGGAUGAAAGUCAUCUGUCCUGCAACCAUAAGACAAAUGUUUGUCUUCAAGUUGAGCCACCCAAAUGGAAAAGAGCCAAAAGAUGGAUCCUGGCCACAGUGUUUGGGCCUUGCAUCAAGCCACAUACAAGCUUGUAUUUACUCCUGGAUGGUAUAUUUAUGUGAAACAAUAA